CAGCAGCCACGGUAAUACGAAGGGGGCUAGCGUUGCUCGGAAUGACUGGGCGUAAAGGGCGCGUAGGCGGCGAUCAAAGUCAGGCGUGAAAUUCCUGGGCUCAACCUGGGGGCUGCGUUUGAUACUUGGUUGCUAGAGUGAGGAAGAGGGUCGUGGAAUUCCCAGUGUAGAGGUGAAAUUCGUAGAUAUUGGGAAGAACACCGGUGGCGAAGGCGGCGACCUGGUCCUUGACUGACGCUGAGGCGCGAAAGCGUGGGGAGCAAACAGGAUUAGAUACCCCAGUAGUCCCUGUCUCUUAUAC
rnacentral:rRNA from 1 species